GUCACGGAUGGCGCAGUGGUUAGCGCACCUGCCUAUUAGGCAGAAUAUCCUGGGUUCGAAUCCCAGUCCGGUACA